UAAUGGACACACAGUCCCACAGCCUGAACUGACACAUCCACAAUUAGAUACAAAUGAAACUGAACAAAUUACCCCAUGCUGGGAUUGUAACUGUCCAUGACACACUCCAGUCCCUGUGGUGUCCACCGCUCACUGAAGGCCUCAAGUUUCCCUCUGACACUCCAUGACCACGCGUGAAGAACAGCUGCAAGAUUUAAUAUCGAAAAAUAAAUUUCACAAAGCUCCCAAGCCCAGCUGGACACAGAGAGAGAUGGAGACAGAAAGACACAUGAAUGAGGGAGAGACAGAGAGGGGCAGAAAGAAGUUGAGAGUGAACGAGAGACUGGGAGACAGGGAGAGGUUGAGAGUGAUGGGGGGGAAGCAGAGAGCAGAGGUUUUUGUACAGCCUCUGCACUGGGAACUCUCACUGUGGGACACGUUCGGUAAAGGAACCAAGCUCAGACUGAGCCGUGAGAACUCUCAGCCCAAGCUGACCUUGCUGCCCCCCUCCCCGGAGCAGGUCAAUGCCAAGGGCACUGCCACCCUGGUGUGCCUUGCCAAUCACUUCUAUCCCGAUGAGCUGGAGGUGCAGUGGAAGAAGGACGGUGCAGUCAUUUCGGACGGGGUUCAGACCAGCAACUACCUGCGAGCUUCAGACAGCACCUACAGUGUCAGCAGCCUGCUGACCCUCUCUGGGUCUGACUGGGAGUCCGACGCUCGCUUCUCCUGUGCCCUCACCCACGUGACCCUCCCCUCUCCCCUCAGCAAGAGCAUCAGGAGAUCAGAAUGUGUGUAGAGUGUUGGAGACAGUCCACAGAGGAGACACAACUUUAAACAGAACAGGGCUGAGCUGGCAGGACAAAGGUCAUUGUCAGCACUGAAUUUCAACUCUCUUCCUUCUCAGGAUUGCUCAGAGAAACUUCUGAGGUUUGGAUAUUAAAGCAGGUCAUCGCGACAGUGUCAAGAGAGCUUUACACUGUGUCAAACCCCAUACUGUCCUUGUCCUGGGAAUGUUUGAUGGGGACAGGAUUGCCUUGUUAUGUUAGCUGCACAAAACAAUGUGAACCUCAGAAGUCUCUGCUUCAGUAAACCAGAUCUCCUUCCUGCUCAGCUGCCAGUUCCAGUUUAAGGUUUUGUCACUGUUUAAAGGGGCAGGAUUCUCGUGUUAUUGAGAAAAUCUCUCCAAGUGUUUUCCUCAAUCUCCAUUGGGGCUAUGAAUUUGAGCAGCUUCCUCUGUCUUGGCUGUUAAUUGCAGUUGUUUCUUUU